rnacentral:tRNA from 1 species
GCCAUUGUAGCAUAGAGGUAAAUGCAUCUGGCUGUUAACCAGGGGAUAGUGGGUUCAAUACCCAUCGAUGGCU